UUAAGCGACUAAGCGUACACGGUGGAUGCCCUGGCAGUCAGAGGCGAUGAAGGACGUGCUAAUCUGCGAAAAGCGUCGGUAAGGUGAUAUGAACCGUUAYAGCCGGCGAUGUCCGAAUGGGGAAACCCAGUGUGAUUCGUCACACUAUCGUUAACUGAAUACAUAGGUUAACGAGGCGAACCGGGGGAACUGAAACAUCUAAGUACCCCGAGGAAAAGAAAUCAACCGAGAUUCCCCCAGUAGCGGCGAGCGAACGGGGAGCAGCCCAGAGUCUGAAUCAGCUUGUGUGUUAGUGGAACGGUCUGGAAAGUCCGACGGUACAGGGUGAUAGUCCCGUACACCAAAAUGCACAGGCUGUGAACUCGAAGAGUAGGGCGGGACACGUGGUAUCCUGUCUGAAUAUGGGGGGACCAUCCUCCAAGGCUAAAUACUCCUGACUGACCGAUAGUGAACCAGUACCGUGAGGGAAAGGCGAAAAGAACCCCGGCGAGGGGAGUGAAAAAGAACCUGAAACCGUGUACGUACAAGCAGUGGGAGCACCUUCGGGUGUGACUGCGUACCUUUUGUAUAAUGGGUCAGCGACUUAUAUUCUGUAGCAAGGUUAACCGUAUAGGGGAGCCGCAGGGAAACCGAGUCUUAACUGGGCGUUAAGUUGCAGGGUAUAGACCCGAAACCCGGUGAUCUAGCCAUGGGCAGGUUGAAGGUUGGGUAACACUAACUGGAGGACCGAACCGACUAAUGUUGAAAAAUUAGCGGAUGACUUGUGGCUGGGGGUGAAAGGCCAAUCAAACCGGGAGAUAGCUGGUUCUCCCCGAAAGCUAUUUAGGUAGCGCCUCGUGAACUCAUCUUCGGGGGUAGAGCACUGUUUCGGCUAGGGGGUCAUCCCGACUUACCAACCCGAUGCAAACUACGAAUACCGAAGAAUGUUAUCACGGGAGACACACGGCGGGUGCUAACGUCCGUCGUGAAGAGGGAAACAACCCAGACCGCCAGCUAAGGUCCCAAAGUCAUGGUUAAGUGGGAAACGAUGUGGGAAGGCACAGACAGCCAGGAUGUUGGCUUAGAAGCAGCCAUCAUUUAAAGAAAGCGUAAUAGCUCACUGGUCGAGUCGGCCUGCGCGGAAGAUGUAACGGGGCUAAACCAUGCACCGAAGCUGCGGCAGCGACACUAUGUGUUGUUGGGUAGGGGAGCGUUCUGUAAGCCUGCGAAGGUGACCUGUGAGGGUUGCUGGAGGUAUCAGAAGUGCGAAUGCUGACAUAAGUAACGAUAAAGCGGGUGAAAAGCCCGCUCGCCGGAAGACCAAGGGUUCCUGUCCAACGUUAAUCGGGGCAGGGUGAGUCGACCCCUAAGGCGAGGCCGAAAGGCGUAGUCGAUGGGAAACAGGUUAAUAUUCCUGUACUUGGUGUUACUGCGAAGGGGGGACGGAGAAGGCUAUGUUAGCCGGGCGACGGUUGUCCCGGUUUAAGCAUGUAGGCUGGUURUCCAGGCAAAUCCGGAUAAUCAAGGCUGAGGUGUGAUGACGAGGCACUACGGUGCUGAAGUAACAAAUGCCCUGCUUCCAGGAAAAGCCUCUAAGCAUCAGGUAACAUCAAAUCGUACCCCAAACCGACACAGGUGGUCAGGUAGAGAAUACCAAGGCGCUUGAGAGAACUCGGGUGAAGGAACUAGGCAAAAUGGUGCCGUAACUUCGGGAGAAGGCACGCUGGUGUGUAGGUGAAGUCCCUGCGGAUGGAGCUGAGACCAGUCGAAGAUACCAGCUGGCUGCAACUGUUUAUUAAAAACACAGCACUGUGCAAACACGAAAGUGGACGUAUACGGUGUGACGCCUGCCCGGUGCCGGAAGGUUAAUUGAUGGGGUUAUCCGUAAGGAGAAGCUCUUGAUCGAAGCCCCGGUAAACGGCGGCCGUAACUAUAACGGUCCUAAGGUAGCGAAAUUCCUUGUCGGGUAAGUUCCGACCUGCACGAAUGGCGUAAUGAUGGCCAGGCUGUCUCCACCCGAGACUCAGUGAAAUUGAACUCGCUGUGAAGAUGCAGUGUACCCGCGGCAAGACGGAAAGACCCCGUGAACCUUUACUAUAGCUUGACACUGAACAUUGAGCCUUGAUGUGUAGGAUAGGUGGGAGGCUUUGAAGCGUGGACGCCAGUCUGCGUGGAGCCAACCUUGAAAUACCACCCUUUAAUGUUUGAUGUUCUAACGUUGGCCCCUUACCGGGGUUGCGGACAGUGUCUGGUGGGUAGUUUGACUGGGGCGGUCUCCUCCCAAAGCGUAACGGAGGAGCACGAAGGUUAGCUAAUCCUGGUCGGACAUCAGGAGGUUAGUGCAAUGGCAUAAGCUAGCUUGACUGCGAGCGUGACGGCGCGAGCAGGUGCGAAAGCAGGUCAUAGUGAUCCGGUGGUUCUGAAUGGAAGGGCCAUCGCUCAACGGAUAAAAGGUACUCCGGGGAUAACAGGCUGAUACCGCCCAAGAGUUCAUAUCGACGGCGGUGUUUGGCACCUCGAUGUCGGCUCAUCACAUCCUGGGGCUGAAGUAGGUCCCAAGGGUAUGGCUGUUCGCCAUUUAAAGUGGUACGCGAGCUGGGUUUAGAACGUCGUGAGACAGUUCGGUCCCUAUCUGCCGUGGGCGCUGGAGAAUUGAGGGGGGCUGCUCCUAGUACGAGAGGACCGGAGUGGACGCAUCACUGGUGUUCGGGUUGUCAUGCCAAUGGCACUGCCCGGUAGCUAAAUGCGGAAGAGAUAAGUGCUGAAAGCAUCUAAGCACGAAACUUGCCCCGAGAUGAGUUCUCCCUGAGACUUUAAG
rnacentral:rRNA from 1 species